AUUGAACGCUGGCGGCAGGCCUAACACAUGCAAGUAGAACGAGUGGCGGACGGGUGAGUAAUGUAUGGGAAACUGCCUGCAGGAGGGGGAUAACUACUGGAAACGGUAGCUAAUACCGCAUCCCAUCAGAUGUGCCCAUAUGGGCUUAGCUCGUUGGUGGGGUAACGGCUCACCAAGGAGACGAUCCCUAGCUGGUCUGAGAGGAUGACCAGCAACACUGGAACUGUGACACGGUCCAGACUCCUACGGGAGGCAGCAGUGGGGAAUAUUGGACAAUGGGCGAAAGCCGGCUUCAGCCAUGCCGCGUGUAUGAUGAAGGCCUUCGGGUUGGAAAGUACUUUCAGCUGGGAGGCGUUACCCGCAGAAUAAGCACCGGCUAACUCCGUGCCAGCAGCCGCGGUAAUAC
rnacentral:rRNA from 1 species